AAACAGUAAAACCAAUACACUCGCUGCACUUAGAAUCAAAGUCAACGUCACUAGAUAAACCAACGAAUUUUGAAGGGAAAACAAAAACGGGCUAUUGCGUCCAUACAACUAGAGUAACAUAGAGGUGACCUUAUCAGAUCGUGUUCCACAAAUGCCUCCUAAAUCAGAAAAAGCAAGUUUAAAAAAUAUACGAAAAGCGUCCA